ACGGUUUCCGCGCCGCAGCUAACGCAUUAAGUGCCCCGCCUGGGGAGUACGGCCGCAAGGCUAAAACUCAAAGGAAUUGACGGGGGCCCGCACAAGCGGCGGAGCAUGCGGAUUAAUUCGAUGCAACGCGAAGAACCUUACCAAGGCUUGACAUGUUCUCGAUCGCCGUAGAGAUACGGUUUCCCCUUUGGGGCGGGAUCACAGGUGGUGCAUGGUUGUCGUCAGCUCGUGUCGUGAGAUGUUGGGUUAAGUCCCGCAACGAGCGCAACCCUCGUUCCAUGUUGCCAGCACGUAAUGGUGGGGACUCAUGGGAGACUGCCGGGGUCAACUCGGAGGAAGGUGGGGACGACGUCAAAUCAUCAUGCCCCUUAUGUCUUGGGCUUCACGCAUGCUACAAUGGCCGGUACAAUGGGUUGCGAU
rnacentral:rRNA from 1 species